rnacentral:rRNA from 1 species
AAUCUUGCGCAAUGGGCGAAAGCCUGACGCAGCCAUGCCGCGUGAAUGAUGAUGGUCUUUGGAUUGUAAAAUUCUUUCACCGGGGACGAUAAUUACGGUACCCGGAGAAGAAGCCCCGGCUAACUUCGUGCCAGCAACCGCGGGAAUACGAAGGGGGCUAGCGUUUCUCGGAAUUACUUGGCGUAAAGGGCGCGUAGGCGGAUCGUUAAGUCAGAGGUGAAAUCCCAGGGCGCAACCCUGGAACUGCCUUUGAUACUGGCGAUCUUGAGUAUGAGAGAGGUAUGUGGAACUCCGAGUGUAGAGGUGAAAUUCGUAGAUAUUCGAAAGAACACCAGUGGCGAAGGCGACAUACUGGCUCAUUACUGACGCUGAGGCGCGAAAGCGUGGGGAGCAAAAA